UCAAGAGGUUGAGUAAGUCCGAGUGCCGACACGAUAGCGUUGGAGUGUGUCCAAGGCCGUGACAAUUUGGUAUCCGAGCAAGGUUCGAGAGGGAGCACAAGUCGCUUGUGGGUAUGGCUUAUAGUAUCACCAUGGAGCAUGUUGAAUCUAAAAGGGGAAGGAAUGCUAUUCCUUCUCAAUGGGGAGGCAAGAAGGUCCGUUCUUCAAGUGAGCCUAGAGGUAAGGACUCUAACUUCUUAGAAGAGAGAGUUUCUAUGUUGGAGAAUGUUCUAUCCUCUAUGGAUGAGCGUUUCCAAAGGAUAGAACAUGAUAAGGAGACCCUCGAGGCUCACGUGUUAGGAGAACUAGAUGCUU